GAGUUUGAUCGUGGCUCAGAUUGAACGCUGGCGGCAUGCCUUACACAUGCAAGUCGAACGGCAGCAUGAUCUAGCUUGCUAGAUUGAUGGCGAGUGGCGAACGGGUGAGUAAUACAUCGGAACGUGCCCUGUAGUGGGGAUAACUAGUCGAAAGAUUAGCUAAUACCGCAUACGACCUGAGGGUGAAAGUGGGGGACCGCAAGGCCUCAUGCUAUAGGAGCGGCCGAUGUCUGAUUAGCUAGUUGGUGGGGUAAAGGCCCACCAAGGCGACGAUCAGUAGCUGGCCUGAGAGGACGAUCAGCCACACUGGGACUGAGACACGGCCCAGACUCCUACGGGAGGCAGCAGUGGGGAAUUUGGACAAUGGGCGAAAGCCUGAUCCAGCAAUGCCGCGUGUGUGAAGAAGGCC
rnacentral:rRNA from 1 species